rnacentral:rRNA from 1 species
UGAGGAAUAUUGGUCAAUGGGCGAGAGCCUGAACCAGCCAAGUAGCGUGCAGGAUGACGGCCCUAUGGGUUGUAAACUGCUUUUAUAAGGGAAUAAAGUGGGUCUCGUGAGACUUUUUGCAUGUACCUUAUGAAUAAGGACCGGCUAAUUCCGUGCCAGCAGCCGCGGUAAUACGGAAGGUCCGGGCGUUAUCCGGAUUUAUUGGGUUUAAAGGGAGCGCAGGCCGGCUGUCAAGCGUGUUGUGAAAUGUAGGGGCUCAACCUCUGAACUGCAGCGCGAACUGACGGUCUUGAGUGCGCACAACGUUGGCGGAAUUCGUCGUGUAGCGGUGAAAUGCUUAGAUAUGACGAAGA